GGAGUUAGCCGGUGCUUCUUCUGUGAGUGAUGUCCUUCCUGCCGACUAUUAACCCGCAGGCCUUCUUCCUCACUGAAAGUGCUUUACAACCCGAAGGCCUUCUUCACACACGCGGCAUGGCUGGAUCAGGGUUGCCCCCAUUGUCCAAUAUUCCCCACUGCUGCCUCCCGUAGGAGUCUGGGCCGUGUCUCAGUCCCAGUGUGGCUGAUCAUCCUCUCAGACCAGCUACGGAUCGUCGCCUUGGUGAGCCGUUACCUCACCAACCAGCUAAUCCGACAUAGGCUCAUCCGAUAGCGCGAGGCCCGAAGGUCCCCCGCUUUCCCCCGUAGGGCGUAUGCGGUAUUAGCCUGGGUUUCCCCAGGUUAUCCCCCACUACCGGGCAGAUUCCUAUGCAUUACUCACCCGUCCGCCGCUCGCCACCAGGGAGCAAGCUCCCCGUGCUGCCGCUCGACUUGCAUGUGUUAGGCCUGCCGCCAGCGUUCAAUCUGAGCCAUAAUCAAACUCUGA
rnacentral:rRNA from 1 species